rnacentral:rRNA from 1 species
UACGUAGGGUCCGAGCGUUGUCCGGAAUUAUUGGGCGUAAAGGGCUCGUAGGCGGUUCGUCACGUCGGGAGUGAAAACUCGGGGCUUAACCCCGAGUCUGCAUUCGAUACGGGCUAGCUAGAGUGUGGUAGGGGAGAUCGGAAUUCCUGGUGUAGCGGUGAAAUGCGCAGAUAUCAGGAGGAACACCGGUGGCGAAGGCGGAUCUCUGGGCCAUUACUGACGCUGAGGAGCGAAAGCGUGGGGAGCGAACAGG